AUCAUGGUACGAUCUAUGACCACGACCGUACCAAGCACUAUGGUCUUAUAAGAUAUUCUAUAGUCACAAUAGUACUUAGCCAAAUGUAACACCUAAUAGAUAUUCACAUCACUAUUCUUGUCAGAGGGUACACCGUCAUCCACAGGGAGCAGUCCUCUCACAUCUUUCCAAACCAGAUGGGGGAGGGAGAAACAGAUACCCCUCAAAGAUAAAAAGGCUAACGAGACACUUGAUAUAUUAGGCAUGUCAAUAUAGAUACAUAUAUUUCUCAGACCAUUCAGGCUCAUCCCUUUUCUCUUUCUUUCUUUUUCCCUUUUUUUUUUAUAUUUUUCAAGCAAAUAUCACUAAUUUCAUAUUAUUUAAUUUACAUGCAAAUCAUCAAGUGCAAAUAAAAUCACAUA
rnacentral:lncRNA from 1 species